AAAGAGGAUUCGUCCAAUUGAAACAGAGGACAGUGGCGGACGGGUGAGUAACGCGUGAGGAACCUGCCUUUCAGAGGGGGACAACAGUUGGAAACGACUGCUAAUACCGCAUGACACAUAGAGAUCGCAUGGUUUUUAUGUCAAAGAUUUAUCGCUGAAAGAUGGCCUCGCGUCUGAUUAGCUAGUUGGUGAGGUAACGGCCCACCGUGCCGACAACGGGUAGCCGGGUUGAGAGACCGACCGGCCAGAUUGGGACUGAGACACGGCCCAGACUCC
rnacentral:rRNA from 1 species